rnacentral:rRNA from 1 species
UACGUAGGGUGCAAGCGUUGUCCGGAAUUAUUGGGCGUAAAGAGCUCGUAGGCGGUUUGUCGCGUCUGCUGUAAAAACUCGGGGCUUAACCCCGGGCCUGCAGUGGGUACGGGCAGACUAGAGUGCGGUAGGGGAGACUGGAAUUCCUGGUGUAGCGGUGAAAUGCGUAGAUAUCUGGAGGAACACCGGUGGCGAAGGCGGCAUCCUGGACCAACACUGACACUGAGGAGCGAAAGCCAGGGGAGCAAACGGG